rnacentral:rRNA from 1 species
CCUACGGGCGGCUGCAGUCGAGAAUCUUCGGCAAUGGGGGCAACCCUGACCGAGCGACGCCGCGUGCGAGAUGAAGGCCUUCGGGUUGUAAAUCGCUGUCAGAGGGGAGGAAAUGCUAGUGGGUUCUCCCACUAGUUUGACCUAGCCUCAGAGGAAGGACGGGCUAAGUUCGUGCCAGCAGCCGCGGUAAGACGAACCGUCCAAACGUUAUUCGGAAUCACUGGGCUUAAAGGGUGCGUAGGCGGUCCGGGAAGUUGGGUGUGAAAGCCGUCGGCUCAACCGAGGAAUUGCGUCCAAAACUGCCGGGCUGGAGGGAGACAUAGGUGAGCGGAACUUAGGGUGGAGCGGUGAAAUGCGUUGAGAUCCUAAGGAACACCAGUAGCGAAAGCGGCUCACUGGGUCUCUUCUGACGCUGAUGCACGAAAGCCAGGGGAGCGAAGAGGAUUAGAUACCCCAGUAGUCCU